ACGGGUGAGUAACGCGUAAAGAACUUGCCUCACAGUUAGGGACAACAUUUGGAAACGAAUGCUAAUACCUGAUAUUAUGAUUUUAGGGCAUCCUAAGAUUAUGAAAGCUAUAUGCGCUGUGAGAGAGCUUUGCGUCCCAUUAGCUAGUUGGAGAGGUAACGGCUCACCAAGGCGAUGAUGGGUAGCCGGCCUGAGAGGGUGAACGGCCACAAGGGGACUGAGACACGGCCCUUACUCCUACGGGAGGCAGCAGUGGGGAAUAUUGGACAAUGGACCAAAAGUCUGAUCCAGCAAUUCUGUGUGCACGAUGACGUUUUUCGGAAUGUAAAGUGCUUUCAGUUGGGAAGAAAAAAAUGACGGUACCAACAGAAGAAGUGACGGCUAAAUACGUGCCAGCAGCCGCGGUAAUACGUAUGGCACAAGCGUAUUCGGAUUUAUGGGCGGUAAAGGCGUUAAGGUGGUAUGUAAGUCUAAUGUGAAAUGCAGGGUCAACUCUGUAUGCGUUGGAAAUGCUGAUUAGGGUACGGAGAGGUAGCGGACUCCAUGUAAGGUAAUUCGUAAAUUGUAGAUGCCAUGGGAACCCUUACUGGACGAACGACCUAAGGCGAAGCGGGUAGAAAGAUAAUACUGGUAUCCC
rnacentral:rRNA from 1 species